GAUGAUGUUUACUUCUGCUUAUGAAGACAAAUAACUGUUUCUUCUUCCUUCCCAUGUCUCACCUGGACAACUGAAACAGGUUUAACACUUUAUGUUGUUAUUUGUUCCAUGGACAGCAGAGGUGAUUCUUGCAGGAGAAAAUGAGCUGUGUGCACUCUCAUCUCAGAGAAAUACGAGUCCUGUUUCUUCUGACUUCUCAUACAACUGAAUUACAGAUUGUCAGUGCUGAAGGAAAUGCUCUUGAUGGUGGAGUAGUACAGAGGGAAGUGUUAGCACCUGCUCUUAAAGGAGUUCCUGAUUUCUUCCUGCUGCACAAACUCCAUGCGGUUUUAGAGAAGACCUUGAUCUGUAUCAAAGUUGUC
rnacentral:lncRNA from 12 species